GACCGGGAAUCGAAUCAGACACCUUCACCAUGGCUUUGCUUUGUAGCCGCGGACUUCAACCAUUUGGCUAAGGAGGCCCCAAUUCUGGUAAAUAUCAUUGAAAUUUCCCUUGAAGCAUCCCUGGAAAAUUAUGUGAACACUUCCAUGGAAAAUUUCUCAAAGGAUGCUUGAUUGUUUAAGUUGUUUUUAGUAAUAAUCCUGAUAGAAAUCUCAAAGAAAUCCAGUACAAAAAUGUUGUACAAAAUCCCUGGAUACUUCUCUGGAGAAAUUACUGGCUGACUUUUGGAAAAUGUCCUAUACGGGAGAAAUAUCUAGGAAAAUCGAUGAAAGAAUCACUGGAUAAAUUUCUGAAGGAUUUCGUAUAUUUUUGAAAAUUACUGGAAGGGUCUUUGGAGCAAUGUACUUGAUAUUUCGGGCGGUAGAAAUUUCAAGGUUGAACUCUUGAAGGUUUCUUAGAAUUCUUGGACGAAUUUCUUAAAACGUCCGUAAAAUCACUAAAUAAACUUCUGAAGAAAUCUUUUGAGUAAUUUCUGGUCAUAUUCCUGGCGAAAAUCAUAAAAAAAUACAUCAAGUAAUACCUACUUGUCGUAAUGUCUCGAGGCAUUCCAAAAAUCCGAAAAAUUCUUAGAUAAAUGUCUGCUCAGAUUAUAUUAGGCAUCAAACUCUUAUCGUCUUAUUCCUGUUUGGUAUCUUUUUUCAGGUCAUAGGUUUCUAAAUUUCCUAUUUUUGAGACAUUCAAUUGCUACUAGCCAUGCAGUCACUAUGUAGUUUCUGUUCGAGAACUAGCAGAGUCAGAUCCAGGUUCGGGAGCGAAAAUGAAACACGUAUUUACUACUGAAAGGCUACACCACUGACUAAACUGACGUGGUGGCUAGAGCAUUUUGCUUCAUGAAUAAUGACCAAAUAUUUGAAUGAAAAUACGUUGGAACACUAACUCCACCUGGUGGUUUUUGUAAAGAAACACUUUGACGGACAAAUCUUUAGCACUCCGAGGAAAAACUACACAUGUUCGGGUAAAAAUACGAGGAAUAUAUUUAAUCAUAUUUGGGAUAUAGAGAAUACAAAAAUCUAAGCUUUCCUUCACGAAAUAAAAUUGUCUUGACUCAAAUAUAUUGCUUUAGAAUCAGACUUACAUGAUUGUCGAUAGUUUUGACAAAACUAAAAUGCAUCAUACGAAAUUGAUUUAGUUUAUUUUAGAUUUAGUAUUUUACUCAUACCUUACUAGUUUGAAACCAGUGUGUAUUGUUUGGUUUGAGCAGUUUGGCAGUUCCAUCUGCUUAGAUUUGUUUACUGUAUAUAAAAAUACACAAACUAGGAAGAUCAAAGUUGAAUAUUACGUGAUUAUUACCUGUUACCUGAGUGAAAAUGAAAUAAGCCUGAAAUGAACCCCAAAAGUUGUUAAAAAACGAGAAAAACCCGCAGCAGCGCAAUCAACAAGAGCAUCUAGCUGUAAACAAAAAACGAAGAUAGAGCUUCUGUGGCAAGUCGAAUUCAACAAAAGGUUCACUUUGCUGACAAAGCUGCUAAGUUUCCGGAUAGCAUUCUGGAACGAUUCUCAACCACUUCCAGAAGAGCAGAGAGGGAACCGUUUUGGGUGAAACUACCUCCGUGGAUCAUCAACUAAGGCGCAAGCGAAAUUCAAACAUCGUUCCUGUAGUGGUGAUAAAAGCUGUCCACCUUCAGGAUGGUUACCCCGUCGUUAUCCAAACUUCCGCCGUGGAAGCAGGUUGUGGUGGUGAUUCGGGCAGCGAAUUUCAGUGAAGUCGUUCCCAGAGCUCCCGAGUGAAGUUACCAAGUGUUUGGGAGAAAUCUCAGAUGAUGAUUUGGGAAUGGCAAAACACAAUUUACGGAAGAAACCUGAAGGGAUUCCUUCCUUCAUCAGUCUUCUCAUCCCACUGCAACUGCCGAUAAUUCCAGGCCUAAUCACCACCAAUUUAGCCUAGUGGUAAGUCGUCGGACUGUUAAUCCGGAGGUGCGGAUUUGAUGCCCGUUGGUGGAGAAAAAGCUUUUCGCAGCUGUUUGAGACGAGGUCUGUACUUGCCCUAUAAGAUACAAAUUCAUAGAAUCAGUGCUCUGUGGAAGUGCUCAUAAGAACACUAAGGGGUCAUCCAUAAAGUACGUCACGCUAUUA